rnacentral:lncRNA from 1 species
UCAAAAUUCUUAUCUCAAUCUUAAAUUCUUAAUUCUCAAAUUAUCAAUCUAUCUCUCUUCCCUUCAAUUUGCAAGAUUUCAUAUUUGAUCAAGUGCUUAAUUUAUUGUCGAAUUCGGUUAUUCGGUGCACUCCCUCCAACUCUUUCUCUUAUUUAAUAUUUUAAUAGCAUAUUUAAUUUAAGCUUAUAUUUUAAUUUUUACAAUAUGUUUAAUGAUGCUAGUCCUGUAGCUUCUGGUAGUAAUAGUAAUGACCC